UACGGAGGAUCCGAGCGUUAUCCGGAUUUAUUGGGUUUAAAGGGUGCGCAGGCGGGAGAUUAAGUCGGCGGUGAAAUUUUGCAGCUCAACUGUAAAAGUGCCUUCGAAACUGGUUUCCUUGAGUGUAGAUGAAGUAGGCGGAAUUUGUGGUGUAGCGGUGAAAUGCAUAGAUAUCACGAGGAACUCCGAUUGCGUAGGCAGCUUACUAAACUACUACUGACGCUCAGGCACGAAGGCGUGGGGAUCAAACAGGAUUAGAUACCCCUGUAGUCCCU
rnacentral:rRNA from 1 species